AAUGUUAUGGACGGCGCAGCCCGUUUUUUCCUUGUCUAGGGUGUAGGGGCAGUCCACUAUGUUGCAGUGCAGCCGCGAUUCCUCAGUGUUGCGGUCUGGAGCGACGACAUGGUUUUGGGGUCUUUCCUUCUCUGGAUAUGCGACAUAAGCAGUGCAGUUUUCUCUUCCUCGCCGUGGGCGCGAUUGCAGUUGGCAACGGACGGUUGGCGAAGAGGUUGUUGGUGCCGACUGCCGACGGUGUUUAGGUUCUGUUUUUCUCAUAUUACUAUCCCUGUCGGAAAUUGUUCAUUGCCUGCGGCGGUAAAUUUUGUUGAUUCUCUAGUCCCUCUUCAUUUCCAUUUUUGUGAGGCUUACGGUUCCAGCAAGUGGAACGGCGGCAUUGUAUAGUUUUUUGAGUUGCAUCUUCGAGUUGUUCGAGAGAGCACCAAGGAUUUAACUGUACUGCUAUUUGGUCGCUCCUUCUGCUCGUGGUUUUGUUCUUGGCGAACUUUUCUCUUUGUCAACCUCUUCAUAAUUGGACGAUAUGGUGUAAAAGCUUUCUCGUCGAGGGAAUUCAGUGUUCCCCUUCAACGAUUGAUGAAGUAGGUUGCGAGGGAGGCCACGCAUAUUGGAGGUACUGGACCCUGUAUUGCGGCAUAGAGCUACCUUCCAAAGUCCAAUCGAUUAUGCAAAUAGUGGAAUGUGACUGCAACUGCACCACUUAACAAAUAACGAUGUUGAUGAGGACUUAAACCCACGCCACUGUUGCAAAUCUCAUUGUGGAAUUGGGCAUGCAGUAGAAGAGCAUGGGUAGUUGUUAGUCUUUGACGAUAGUAUUCUGUUACUGAGAAUAGCCAUCAAUAAAUAAAUUUUCAUAUGUUGAUCUAGAAAUCUAUUUGCUGAGACGUAGAGUACAAGGUUGGCGGAGAAGUCCCUCUUAUUUCAGAUUGAGCCGGCUACUGGUCCCUGUUGAGCGAUCGACAAUCAAGCAGGGUGGAGGGUCUGUGCUUAACAGUGUGUUGGAGUGGUCAGCACUGGUCCUCGGUGGAUUUUUAGUGGAUGCUUUAGGCUGCAUGUGAUCAAUUAGAUCAGUCUUCACGUGUUUACUACACACUAUUGGGGCUAGUGAGUAGAGCAACUCUUGAAUAGUAGAAAUCUGGAAGAAUUUAGGUGUACUUAGUAAUUUAGUAAAAUCAUGUUGGAGGAGCUACGAAUUCUCCCAAAUUGUUCCAGUGCAUUUUUGAAUUGACUGUUAGUUUGCAUUGAGAAAUGGAGAAGCCUCGGGGUAGUUGCUGGCGAUUGGUGGUGUGCAAGUUGGUGUCAUUCUUGUUCGAAGGCUCAUGAGGAUCCAUGCUACUGAGCGUGUGCGGCAGCCAUUAGCGGAAGGCAUCAACGCCCUAUUUCGUAAGAAUUUCAGGUGGAUGAUUUAGGUGGAUGAUUUAGGUGGAUGAGAAGUGCAAUACGAUGAUGUAGGUUAGAGUUGGAUGAAGUUAGGAUUUUGGAUGAUUUUUAGAGUUAGAUGAAUUCUCAUUUGGAGAUGAAAAAUCAUUUUCAAAUGGAAAUUUA